AACGCGAAGAACCUUACCAGGGCUUGAAAGACAGUGGACCGGUGCGGAAACGUACCUUUCCUUCGGGACUGCUGUCUAGGUGCUGCAUGGCUGUCGUCAGCUCGUGCCGUGAGGUGUCGGGUUAAGUCCCAUAACGAGCGCAACCCCUAUCACUAGUUGCCAUCAGGUAAUGCUGGGGACUCUAGUGAAACUGCCCGCGUAAGCGGUGAGGAAGGCGGGGAUGACGUCAAGUCAGCACGGCCCUUACGUCCUGGGCUACACACGUGCUACAAUGGCAGGUACAGAGGGCAGCUACACCGCGAGGUGAUGCAAAUCUCCAAAACCUGUCUCAGUUCGGAUCGAAGUCUGCAACUCGACUUCGUGAAGCUGGAUUCGCUAGUAAUCGCGUAUCAGCAAUGACGCGGUGAAUACGUUCCCGGGUCUGUACACACCG
rnacentral:rRNA from 1 species